rnacentral:rRNA from 1 species
CCUACGGGAGGCAGCAGUGAGGAAUAUUGGUCAAUGGACGAGAGUCUGAACCAGCCAAGUAGCGUGAAGGAUGACUGCCCUAUGGGUUGUAAACUUCUUUUAUAUGGGAAUAAAACGUUCCACGUGUGGGAUUUUGUAUGUACCAUAUGAAUAAGGAUCGACUAACUCCGUGCCAGCAGCCGCGGUAAUACGGAGGAUCCGAGCGUUAUCCGGAUUUAUUGGGUUUAAAGGGAGCGUAGGUGGAUUGUCAAGUCAGUUGUGAAAGUUUGCGGCUCAACCGUAAAAUUGCAGUUGAAACUGGCAGUCUUGAGUACAGUAGAGGUGGGCGGAAUUCGUGGUGUAGCGGUGAAAUGCUUAGAUAUCACGAAGAACUCCGAUUGCGAAGGCAGUUCACUGGACUGCAACUGACACUGAGGCUCGAAAGUGUGGGUAUCAAACAGGAUUAGAUACCCUUGUAGUC